rnacentral:rRNA from 1 species
UGGGGAAUUUUGCACAAUGGGGGAAACCCUGAUGCAGCGACGCCGCGUGAUUUAGAAGGCCUUCGGGUUGUAAAAAUCUUUUGUAUGGGAAGAAAAUGACAGUACCAUACGAAUAAGGACCGGCUAAUUACGUGCCAGCAGCCGCGGUAAUACGUAAGGUCCGAGCGUUGUCCGGAAUCAUUGGGCGUAAAGGGUACGUAGGCGGAUAAGCAAGUUAGAAGUGAAAUCCUAUAGCUCAACUAUAGUAAGCUUUUAAAACUGCUCAUCUUGAGGUAUGGAAGGGAAAGUGGAAUUCCUAGUGUAGCGGUGAAAUGCGCAGAUAUUAGGAGGAAUAACGGUGGAGAAGGCGACUUUCUGGACAUAUACUGACGCUGAGGUACGAAAGCGUGGGUAGCAAACAGG